rnacentral:misc_RNA from 1 species
AAGUCGUAACAAGGUUUCCGUAGGUGAACCUGCGGAAGGAUCAUUAUUGAAUAAACCUGGCGUGGUUGUAGCUGGUCCUCUCGGGGACAAUGUGCUCGCCCGUCAUCUUUAUAUCUCCACCUGUGCACCCUUUGUAGACCUGGACGAUAACUUUCCGAGGCAACUCGGUCGGGAGGACUGCUGGCUUUCACGAGUCGGCUUUCCUUGUAUUAUCCAGGCCUAUGUCUUACACAUACCCCAAAGAAUGUAACAGAAUGUAUUGUAUAUGGCCCUAGUGCCUAUAAACUAUAUACAACUUUCAGCAACGGAUCUCUUGGCUCUC